UCCCGCUGCUGCCGCCGCUGCCACGUCGGUGGCCCUCCCGAGCCCGGCCGGCCUCCAUCCCGCCCGGCCGCUCCAUCCCGCUCGGCCGAGGGCUCGGAGAGCGAGUGCUCUUUCCUCCCUCUACUGCUGCUUCGCUGGAGAGCUUUGGCCAGAUCUCAGGAAUACAAUGGAGCACCCACUAGGCAAUGCACUCUGCAGUAAACCUGUCAUCCUGCCUCAAGAUGAAGUUGAUCAGAGAUAUGCAGGAAGUGGCUGUACACCCUAUAAAUGAAGAAGAAAAGGAGUUCCAGCUCACAAAGCUUGGAUCUUCAAUCCUACAGCGGGCCUACAGAGCCACUGCAGCUCUAGAAAUGUGGAGAUGUGCAGGGAUCCCUCUGCAGGCCCAUGCAUGCUGCAUCUGUCUUCAAAGAUGUUGCUUAUCUGCAUCCACAUCUAACCCUGCAGGCUAAAUAACCCCAGCUCCCUCAGAUGAUCAUCAGACGUGCUCCAGACACUUCACCAGCUUCAUUGCAUUUCUCUGGACACACCCCAGCACCUCAAAGUCCUUCCUGAAUUGUUCUGAACUGGACAGAAGACUCGAGGUGUGGCCUCACCAGGGCCAGGUACAGAGGGAUAAUCACUGCCCUGGUCCUGCUGGCUGCACCAUUUCUGAUACAGGCCAGGAUGCCAUUGCCCUUCUUGGCCACAUGGGCACACUGCUGGCUCAUGUUCAGAAGCUGUCAACCAGAGAGUCCAGGUCUUUUUCUGUCAGGCCACUGUCCAGCUACUCUGUCCCCAGCCUGUAGUACUGCAGGGGGGUAAUUGUGGCCAAAGUGCAGGACCCAGCACUUGGACUUGUUAAACCUCAUAUUGUUGGAUUCUGGCCAUCUCUCCAGCCUGUCUCUCUGCAGAACCCUCCUACCCUCCAUCAGACUGACUCUUGCACCCAACUCAGUAUGAUGUGUGAACUUGCUGAUGGUAGAUUCAAUCCCCUCCUCCAGAUCAUCAGUGAAGAUAUUAAACAAGCCUGGCCCCAGCACUGAUCCCUGGGGACCCCACUAAUGACUAGAUGCCAACUGGAUGCAGCACCACCACUCUCUGGGUCUGGCCAACCAGACAGUUCUUAACCCAGUGAAGAAUGAACCUGUCCAAGAUGUGGGCUGCCAGCUUUUGCAGGAGUAUGCCAUGGAAGAUGAUGCCAAAAUGAUUUUUCCUUCUAUAUAUUGUUCAUAUAUAUUCAUAGCUCUGUAGACUAUUAUAUAGUCAUACAGUUAUCUAACUUCAAUACUUUUCCUAUUAGACAAACAAAUUCUUGGGGGCCUGUUCUAAUCUCGCUUCUUAUGGGAAUAAAGGUCAGGACACCUUCCCAAGACACUUUCCCAUAAACAACUAGCAAGGAACGUGGGCUUCAGAAGGGAUCAGACCAAGUGGGGGAGUUACUUCAUCACCUCAGAGUUUCUAAUUGGAGACUCUUGUCAAUUAUGUUAAUUUGCUAAAUGUAUAAAGCUCUGUGUGCCCUAUAUCACGUGUGUAC